rnacentral:rRNA from 1 species
CCUACGGGAGGCAGCAGUUAGGAAUUUUGGGCAAUGGGCGAAAGCCUGACCCAGCAACGCCGCGUGGGGGAGGAAGGCCUUCGGGUCGUAAACCCCUUUUCUGGGGGAAGACUAGGACGGUACCCCAGGAAUAAGCCUCGGCUAACUCUGUGCCGGCAGCCGCGGUAAAACGGAGGAGGCUAGCGUUAUCCGGAUUUAUUGGGCGUAAAGGGCGCGCAGGCGGCCCUGGAAGUUGGGGGUGAAAUCUCCCGGCUCAACCGGGAGGGGUCCCGCAAUACUCCGGGGCUAGAGGUCAGCAGAGGAAGGUGGAAUUCCCGGUGUAGUGGUGAAAUGCGUAGAUAUCGGGAGGAACACCAGAGGCGAAGGCGGCUCUCUAGGCUACUCCUGACGCUGAGGCACGAAAGCAAGGGGAGCAAACGGGAUUAGAUACCCGGGUAGU